rnacentral:rRNA from 1 species
UACAGAGGUGGCAAGCGUUGUUCGGAAUUACUGGGCGUAAAGGGCGCGUAGGUGGCCUUUUGAGUCAGACGUGAAAUCCCCCGGCUUAACCUGGGAACUGCGUCUGAUACUGGAAGGCUUGAGUUCGGGAGAGGGAUGUGGAAUUCCAGGUGUAGCGGUGAAAUGCGCAGAUAUCAGGAGGAACACCAAUUGCGAAGGCAGCUCGCUGGGACGUAACUGACGCUGAGACGCGAAAGCGUGGGGAGCAAACAGG